rnacentral:lncRNA from 1 species
AUUGCUUCGAAACGUGGCGUUAUGACUUUUUGUUUCAUCCAUCUCUCACCUUCGCCGUAUCGAUACUAGGGUUUUGAUUAAUCUAUUCCUCUUCUUCCGGCCGAUCCAAAGAUCAAUCGGUUACAGAUUCAAUCCUCUUAAAUUCCUUCUUCAAUCCACACACACAGUUCUAAGGUAUUUCGUUCUUGAAACUCAUAAACAUCUUACUUUAUAUAGAUUCUGGUGAUUAUAUACAUAAAUAUUCAAUACUCUGUAUUAAGAUUUUAAUCAAACUCUUUUGAAUGUUGAAUCCUUAAUCUGUUUGUUUGUUUCUCCGUUUCACACAUGUGUUUCCGUCGACAGUCAUGGCA